AAAAGAAAUUAACAAGGAUUCCCCUAGUAACGGCGAGUGAAGCGGGAAGAGCUCAAAUUUGAAAUCUGGUAGCCUUCGGUUGCCCGAGUUGUAAUCUAGAGAAGUGUUUUCCGUGCCGGCCCAUGUACAAGUCCCUUGGAACAGGGCGUCAUAGAGGGUGAGAAUCCCGUCCUUGACAUGGACCCCCGGUGCUUUGUGAUACACUUUCAACGAGUCGAGUUGUUUGGGAAUGCAGCUCAAAAUGGGUGGUGAAUUCCAUCUAAAGCUAAAUAUUGGCGAGAGACCGAUAGCGAACAAGUACCGUGAGGGAAAGAUGAAAAGCACUUUGGAAAGAGAGUUAAACAGUACGUGAAAUUGUUGAAAGGGAAACGAUUGAAGUCAGUCAUGCUCUUAGGAUUCAGCCGUUCUGCGGUGUAUUUCCUUUGAGUGGGGUCAACAUCAGUUUUGAUCGAUGGAUAAAGGCACGAGGAAGGUAGCACUCUCGGGUGAACUUAUAGCCUCGCGUCAUAUACAUUGAUUGGGACUGAGGAACGCAGCAUGCCUUUAUGGCCGGGAUUCGUCCACGUACAUGCUUAGG
rnacentral:rRNA from 1 species